rnacentral:rRNA from 1 species
UGAAUACGAGACGCUAAGGCGUCGAAGUAGUGUAUGUCAUACUUCCAAGAAAAGCUUGCACUGUCAUAGAUAAAAAACGCCUGUACCAUAACCGACACAGGUGGGUAGGUAGAGUAUACUAAGGGGCGCGAGAUAACUCUCUCUAAGGAACUCGGCAAAACAACUCCGUAACUUCGGGAGAAGGAGUGCCUUAUUCUUAAGGUUGCAAUAACAAGAUCCAAGCAACUGUUUAUCAAAAACACAGGUCUCCGCUAAGUCGUAAGACGAUGUAUGGGGGCUGACGCCUGCCCAGUGCCAGAAGGUUAAAGAAGCUGGUUAGCAUUUGCGAAGCUAGUAACUGAAGCCCUGGUGAACGGCGGCCGUAACUAUAACGGUCCUAAGGUAGCGAAAUUCCUUGUCGGGUAAGUUCCGGCCCGCACGAAAGGCGUGAUGAUUUGGAUACUGUCUCGGAGAGGGGCUCGGUGAAAUAGACUUGUCUGUGAAGAUGCGGACUACCUGCACCAGGACAGAAAGACCCUAUGAAGCUUUACUGUAACUUGAAAUUGAAAUUGGACUUUAUUCGCGCAGUAUAGGUGGGAGGCGUUGAUUAUAAUCUUGCGGGAUUAUUGGAGCCAUUAGUGAGACACCACUCUUGUAAUGUUAGAUUUCUAACUUUGAAUCAUUAUCUGGUCAAAGAACAGUUUCAGGCGGGCAGUUUGACUGGGGCGGUCGCCUCCUAAACGGUAACGGAGGCGUACAAAGGUUUCCUCUGAACGGUUAGAAAUCGUAUCUAGAGUGUAAAGGCAUAAGGAAGCUUGACUGUGAGACCUACAAGUCGAGCAGGGACGAAAGUCGGUCCUAGUGAUCUGACGGUACUGAGUGGAAAGGCCGUCACUCAACGGAUAAAAGUUACUCUAAGGAUAACAGGCUGAUCUCCCCCAAGAGUUCACAUCGACGGGGAGGUUUGGCACCUCGAUGUCGGCUCAUCGCAUCCUGGGGCGGUAGUACGUCCCAAGGGUUGGGCUGUUCGCCCAUGAAAGCGGUACGCGAGCUGGGUUCAGAACGUCGUGAGACAGUUCGGUCCAUAUCCGGUGUAGGCGUUAGAAUAUUGAGAGGAGCCUUCUUUAGUACGAGAGGACCGUGAAGGACAUACCUCUGGUGUACCAGUUAUCGUGCCAACGGUAAACGCUGGGUAGCUAUGUAUGGAGUGGAUAACCGCUGAAAGCAUCUAAGUGGGAAGCCCACCUCAAGAUAAGUAUUCUCA